CCUACGGGGGGCAGCAGUGGGGAAUAUUGCGCAAUGGGCGCGAGCCUGAACCAGCCAAGUAGCGUGAAGGAUGACUGCCCUACGGGUUGUAAACUUCUUUUAUAAAGGAAUAAAGUGAGGCACGUGUGCCUUUUUGUAUGUACUUUAUGAAUAAGGAUCGGCUAACUCCGUGCCAGCAGCCGCGGUAAUACGGAGGAUCCGAGCGUUAUCCGGAUUUAUUGGGUUUAAAGGGAGCGUAGAUGGGUUGUUAAGUCAGUUGUGAAAGUUUGCGGCUCAACCGUAAAAUUGCAAUUGAUACUGGCAGCCUUGAGUACAGUUGAGGUAGGCGGAAUUCGUGGUGUAGCGGUGAAAUGCUUAGAUAUCACGAAGAACUCCGAUUGCGAAGGCAGCUUACUAGACUGACACUGACAUUGAGGCUCGAAAGUGUGGGUAUCAAACAGGAUUAGAUACCCGAGUAGUC
rnacentral:rRNA from 1 species